AUUUUUUUGCGCUGGUAUGACGAUGGUUAAGUGAUGUUGUGAAAAUUGUUAGAAAAAAUGUUUCUCAUGUAAUUGAAUUGUGUUCUAAGUGAAAGUCGCAAUAAACGUAUACCUAGGUUGUUUAAUUAAUAAAGCAAAUAUAGUUUGCAUGGUAAAUGCAGUUAUGAUUAUCUAACGGAAAAGGUGAUAAUACAGCCCAAGAUGGCGGAAGUUGAUCCAGAAACAUUGCUGGAGUGGUUACUGACCGGUCAAGGUGAUGAGAGAGAUAUGCAACUCAUUGCUCUGGAGCAGCUAUGCAUGCUAUUGCUCAUGUCAGAUAAUGUGGACAGGUGCUUUGAAAGCUGUCCACCAAGAACAUUUUUACCGGCUUUGUGCAAAAUAUUCCUCGAUGAAUAUGCACCUGAUAAUGUUUUGGAAGUCACAGCCAGAGCAAUUACUUACUAUUUGGAUGUCUCAGCUGAAUGCACUCGCAGAAUUGUAGCAAUUGAAGGUGCUGUGAAGGCUAUUUGCAGUAGACUGCUCACAGUUGACCCUAAUAAUAGAACAAGUCGAGAUCUUGCUGAACAGUGUAUCAAGGUAUUGGAAUUGGUGUGCACCCGUGAGCCUGGUGCAGUGUGGGAAGGUGGAGGUCUGCCUGCAGUUUUACAUUUUAUAACCCACUAUGGCACUUCUGUGCAUAAAGAUACCCUUCAUUCGGCUAUGGCUGUUGUGUCAAGAGUUUGUGGUAAGAUGGAGCCAGGAGAUGCUAGAGUAGGAGAUGCCGUGUCGUCAUUGUCAUCUCUGUUACAGCACAGUGACACUCGCGUAGCAGACGCAGCAUUGCGUUGUUUUGCUUCUCUCGCUGAUCGCUUCGCGAGGGCCCAUGCUGAUCCUGCUCCUCUUGCUGAACAUGGACUAAUUGAAGAAUUGGUGCAUCGCCUUGGUAGCACUGAGAAUAGUGAUGAUAAAUGUUCAGUACCCUCAGUGUCAACUACAGUGAGUUUGCUAACAACCUUAUGUCGUGGUUCUGAACAGAUAACCCACGAUUUAGUUCGUUUAGAUCUUUGCUCUGCAAUAGAAGCGGCGGUGCAAUCCGAUGAGCGUUGGAGUUUGGAAUGCAUGCGCUUAGUUGAUCUGUUGCUUGUACUGUUGUGUGAAGGGCGACAGGCUAUACAGACUAGUUUAAACAGAAACGGAGCUGCAUCAACAAGCAGCAGUGGAUCUGCAGUUGGGUCUUCAAAUGUGACUGCGAGUGGAGAGGGCUCUGUGCGCGAUAAGUCACAUAGACAACUCAUUGAUUGUAUAAGAGGCAAAGAUACGGAUGCAUUAAUGUCUGCAGUAAAUAGUGGUGCAGUUGAUGUCAAUUUUACAGAUGACGUAGGCCAGACCCUAUUGAAUUGGGCUGCUGCGUUUGGAACAAGAGAAAUGGUGGAGUUUUUAUGUGAAAAAGGCGCUGAUGUAAAUCGCGGGCAACGUAGUUCAUCUCUUCACUAUGCAGCUUGUUUUGGUAGGCCUGCAAUUGCUAAAGUUCUAUUGCGAUAUGGUGCCAAUGCCGAUCUUAGAGAUGAGGAUGGUAAAACCCCACUUGAUAAAGCAAGAGAAAGGCACGAUCAAGGUAAACGGACCGGCCAUAGAGAAGUCGCUGCAAUAUUGCAGUGUCCCGGAGAAUGGCUUGUAGUCAGUAACCAGGAUUCGCCGGCGUCAUCUAAUGACGAAGAUUUUCCCGAAACAGGGGAUAAGGAGAUGGCUGCACUUUAUUUAGAGCGAUUGGUACCAGUGUUCUGUUCCCGCUACAUCGCAGCCGGCGGGGCGGGCGUGAAACGAGCUUGCCUCUCAUUGGUCCGCAAGAUGGUGCACUAUGCGCCGGCGCACCGCCUGCGCGCCCUCUCCAGCCCGCGCACCGCCUCGCUGCUCACCAGGCUCAUCGCGCAAGUGCUCGACACGCAGGAUGAUCUGUCGAUGGGUCGCCGGGCGCAGUCCCGGUAUCUGCGCAGUCGCUAUAUUCGCCCGCCCGUGGACGAUGACGACGGCCACUUAACUGUUUUGGGCAUUGCUGAGGAGUUGAUGGUGAAAGCGACAGAUAUAUACUUGGAGCAGUUUGCGCGCCUCGGCGUCUUCAGUAAAGUGGAGGCAUUGGCAGCUUCAUAUCCAGCGCCUGUUGUUGAAACUGCUACCGUGAUUGGUUCAGCAGUGGGUGAAGCCCGCGGCGAGGACGCGUCGUCGCUGUCCAGCGGCACCGCGUACUCGUGGGGCGAGUGGUCGCUGUGCCGCGGGCGCGACGCGCUGUACGCGUGGAGCGACGCGGCCGCGCUCGAGCUCAGCACCGGCUCCAACGGCUGGUUCCGCUUCCUGCUCGACGGGAAGCUGGCCACCAUGUACUCGAGCGGCAGCCCCGAGCACCAGACUGAUAAUACUGAAAAUCGUGGUGAAUUCAUUGAUAAACUUCAAAGGGCGAGAGCAUCUGUAAAAAAUUCCGUGCCGCAGCCUAUCCUUUCUAAGCCAAGCAAUACUAAGUUAAUACUUGGAAACUGGGUUUUGUCUUGUAAAAAGGAGAAAGAACUACACAUCCAUAACACUGAUGGUCAACAGCAAACAACCAUACUCCGCGAAGACCUACCAGGUUUUAUAUUUGAGUCCAAUAGAGGAACUAAACACUCAUUUACAGCCGAAACAUUUUUGGGUCCUGAUUUAGCUAGUGGUUGGGCAGAUCGUCGUCCAACAACAGCUAGUAAUGGCAAUGUAACACAAGGGCGGAGUCGGUUGUCUGCCAAAACUGAAGCACAAAAAGCACAGGUUGGAGAGCGAGCUCGCGCUUUAUAUUCGCGUCACUUAGCGAGCGCUGCUUGUCGGCAACCACGUCCGCCUGUGGCGAGACUUCGUGCACUACUGGCGGUUUUACACCGAGUCUCUGCUGAAGCAAAUGAUAAUUGGAAGAAAGAGAUGAGAGACACUCUAAAUCAACUCAAUGAGCUGUUGUGUGGAGAAGAAUUAUUGUCAGCCUAUGAAUUACAGUCGUCCGGAUUGGCCCCUGCUCUUUUUCAAGUACUUUCACCUCAGCCAAAUGACGUCCCCGGCCAGUUGUUAGAGCGAGAGCGCAUCAUCCGCGAGUGGCUCAUGGAGGGCGACACGGGCGCGACGGUCGCAUCCCGGCUGGUGGCCGUGCUCGAGAGCGUAGAGCGGCUGCCGGUGCUCGCCCCAGCGCCUGAUGCACCUCCUACUCACCCGGCGGCUUUGCACCACCUUACUAAGAGAAUACGUUUACGAGUUGAACGCGCAACCGACGAAACUUCAGAAGAUUCGACAUCAAGUAGCACGAGUCGUAAUCUAAGAGUAGAGGCAUUAACUACGAUUCGUCAAUUGGAGAAAUUCCUUGCCAAGUCUGUAGCACGCCAGUGGUACGAUAUGGAGAGACCUACAUACAAUUUUGUACAAAAAAUUAAAGCAGAAGCUCCAAUCACAUUCUCGUAUGACCAUGAUUUUGAUGAAAAUGGUGUCAUUUAUUUUAUCGGAAGCAAUGCAGGCACCUGUGAAUGGGUAAAUCCGGGAGCACAUGGCCUCGUUAGUGUUUGGUCCUCUGAUGGCAGGCAGUUGCCGUACGGUCGAGCUGAAGACGUUCUCUCAAGAUCCCCAGAGCCGUUAAACGUUCAUACUAAUGACGAUAGACGCGCUUUCAUAGCCAUUGACUUGGGACUUAACAUUGUUCCCUCUGCGUAUACGUUGCGUCAUGCACGCGGCUAUGGACGAUCGGCACUAAGGAAUUGGCUAUUCCAGAUGUCGACGGACGGCGGUACGUGGAGCACGCUCGUGUCGCACACGGACGAGCAGGCGCUGCAGGAGCCGGGCAGCACGGCCACGUGGCGCGUGCGCGCCGACUCGCCCUACCGCUACCUGCGCGUGCAGCAGAACGGCAAGAACGCGUCCGGCCAGAGCCACUACCUGUCGCUGUCCGGCUUCGAGAUAUAUGGCAAGGUGGUGAGCGUAGUAGAAACAGCACCACGGCAAGUGGGCGGUCCCACCGUGUCAGCCGGCGUCCCGGCGGGCAGCGGCGGCGCGGGCGCGGGCGCGGGCGCGGGCGCGGGGGCGGGCGCGGGCGCGGGGGCGGGCGGUCGCACGCGCCGAUUCUCGCGUAACGCGCGCAGUCUGUGCGCGGGCGCACGCGUCGUGCGCGGACCGGACUGGAAGUGGAGAGAUCAAGAUGGAACCCAUCCAGCUAUGGGCACGGUCACGUCGGAUCUACACAAUGGAUGGGUGGACGUUAGAUGGGAUCAUGGAGGUCGCAAUUCCUACCGCAUGGGUGCUGAGGGAAAAUUCGACUUGAAAUUAAUAGGAACAUACGAGUCGCAACGUUCACGUAAGAGCCAUUCCACACCAAGCCUGCCGGAUGCUACUAAUAACGACAAUCAGAUGUCUGUGGCGUCAACGGAACAAGCAUCGUCUGCGGAUAACAUAUCCGGCGAGGAGAUGGCCAGCAACAUGACGCGCCCGCGCAUGCACGCUACGGACCUCUCCGCUAUUAACAACUCAACGCAUCAUAUUAAUACUGACCUUGCGACAAUCGUAGAAUCUUUAACCCUUGGUGCCGAAGGAAACAACUGUAUGGCAGACCUGGCCAAUACGUCUUUUACCAACAUGGAAAUGGGGCCCACAAGCAUUACCGAUAUAACCAAACCGUACCCAGCAAAGGAGCCUGUGCCAGAGUCUAAUAGUCAAGAGGAGGAGCGUCGGCGCCGCAGCUCGGGGGAGGCGCAGCGCAACAGUGCGAAUGCGCUGCUCUCCAGCGAGUUGCUAGCCUUGCCCGCCUCGCUGUUGCACACGCUGCGUAAUAACGCUAACAGACUGCACAUACAGUGUGAAGAGAACGAGAACGGUGAGGGACAGUUUACCGAGCACAAGAACGAUGGCCAGACCGGCAGCGGUGCCAUGAGCGCUAGCGAACCAGAUCUGACACAACAGGGUGCUGCAAGGCUUCUGGAGUCGUUAGGUGUGGGUCGUAUAACGAGUGGCUCGCGGAACAAUACAAAUCAACAACGCUCCAACCGCAGUAAUCACCCUAACUCCUUGUUCCCGAGCCUCGUUCGCCUGGCACUUUCGAGCAAUUUCCCGGGUGGGCUUCUAUCGGCCGCGCAAAGUUAUCCGUCAUUGGCGCCAAAUGCGCAGAACGCACUCACACUCUCACUCACUUCUACGUCUAGUGAGAGCGAACAGGUGUCUUUGGAAGAUUUCCUUGAAUCAUGCCGUGCUCCAGCGCUGCUGACAGAAUUGGAAGAUGAUGAUGAGGGAGACGACGCUCUUGAUAGUGACAAAGAAAACGAACCAACUUAUCACGAGGUAUGGACGCAGGUGUCGCGCAACCUGCUGUCGCUGAUGGAGGAGGAGGCGCUGGAGGCGGUGCAGGCGCGCGGCGGCAGCUGGCGCGGCCGCAAGCCCUGGGACGACGACUUCGUGCUCAAGCGGCAGUUCUCCGCGCUCAUACCGGCGUUCGACCCGCGCCCCGGACGCACCAAUCUCAACCAGACUGUUGAUCUCGAUAUCCCCUUAAAUGAUGAUUCUGACGUGGAAGAAGCAAAGGAGCCUACGGCGAGCGGAAGCGACGCUACUCUAACGGAGACUACCAGCUGUACUACCACGCGUUUGCCUUCUCUGAAGCUUGUGUUGAACUCUGGCGGGGUUUCCCUGCCAUUGGAUAAACCAUCUUGGACACUCUAUCGCGCCGUGUUGGCUCUUAACGCAAAACUGCCAUCGCACGAUUCGCACAGAGAUACCACGUACACGUUGACUUAUAAGGAGAUGGAGGGCACAGACGCGUUUGGAGUCUCAAGUGAUAGCGAAGAAGAUGAACCUGGUGAUCCUGCGGAGCGCGGCGUGGCGGGCGCGGAGGGCGAGUGGGCGAGCAUGGUGACGUGCUGCGUGCGCGUGCUGCGGCGGCUGCGCGGCGCCGUGCCCGCGCUGCCGCCCGACGCGCUGCUCUCCACCAAGCUCACCAACAAGCUGCACCACCAGCUGCAGGAGCCGCUCACGCUGGCCGCCGCCGCUACGCCCAGAUGGUGCCAACAGCUAAACGACUGGUGCCCGUUCCUAUUCCCGCUGGAGACGAGACAAAUGUUCUUUGCGUGUACCGCCUUUGGGACAUCUCGGACGAUAGUAUGGCUCCAGGCACAACGGGAUCGAGCUCUCGACAGGCAAAGAGCGGGUAACACAGUGUCUCCACGUCGGGCGGAACUAGAGGCAUCUGAGUUCCGUAUGGGAAGACUGAGGCAUGAACGAGUUAGGAUACCUCGAAAUCCUAAUUUACUGCGAUCUGCCAUGCAGGUAAUGCGCGUGCACGCCGGUCGCAAGUCGGUGCUGGAGGUGGAGUUCGCGGGCGAGGAGGGCACCGGGCUGGGGCCGACGCUGGAGUUCUACGCGCUGGUGGCGGCCGAGCUGCAGCGCGCCGACCUGCACAUGUGGCUCAACGACGCGCACCUGCACGACGCGGACGCGGCGCCGCACCACCUCACCCUGCCCGGCGAGAAACCUAUCGGGUUCUAUGUGACGCGCGCCGGUGGGCUGUUCCCCGCGCCCCUCCCUCAAGACUCUACUAUCUGUGAUAAAGUUUGCAAAUAUUUCUGGUUCCUUGGAGUAUUUUUAGCUAAGGUUUUACAAGACGGGCGACUAGUCGAUUUACCUUUAUCAGAGCCUUUCUUAAGAAUCAUGUGCGGCGAGGAGCUGACGACUGAACAUUUGCUUGAAGUUGAUCCAAUUAGACAUAGGUUCCUAAUGAGCGUUCUAAACGCCGCGGACGAGUACGACUCGAUACAGCGAGACGGUUCGCUGGAUGAGGCGGAGCGGACGAAGCGUGCGCGCGACCUGCUGGUUGAGGGCGCGACGUUCGAAGAACUAGCACUUACUAUGACGCACGUGGCGUCCAACUCGGAUCCCGACGUGGCUAUACAACCGCUGUGUGACGGUGGAGACCAGAUUGAGGUGGGAGCGCACAACGCGCGCGCGUACGCGUCGGCGAGCGCGGCGUGGAUGGUGCGCGAGGGCGUGCGGCGGCAGACGGCGGCGUUCCGGCGCGGCUUCGGCGCGGUGUUCCCGCCGCGCCGCCUGCGCGCCUUCUCGCCGCCCGAGCUGCGCCUGCUCGUGUGCGGCGAGCGCGGGCCCGUGUGGACGCGCGACCACCUGCUGCAGUACACCGAGCCCAAACUCGGCUAUACUAGGGAUAGCCCUGGCUUCCUGCGUCUGGUGGACGUUCUGGUGGAGAUGUCGUGGCGCGAGCGCAAGGCGUUCCUGCAGUUCGCGACGGGCUGCAGCAGCCUGCCGCCCGGCGGGCUCGCCAACCUGCACCCGAGGCUCACAGUUGUUAGAAAGGUGGACGCGGGCGACGGUUCAUACCCUUCAGUGAACACGUGCGUGCACUACCUCAAGCUGCCCGAGUACUCGUGCAAGGAGGUGCUGCGCGAGAGACUGCUCGCCGCGACCAACGAGCGCGGCUUCCACCUCAACUAGACGUGUGCUUAUGAUUGCUGCGGGUGUGGGACUGUUUCGGACUAAUAAAAUCAAGCAAAAUAUUAAUUUCAUAUUUUAUAAUACAGAAAAAAUAUAUGAUAUGGAUUUUUUAGGUAAUGCCAAACGGAAGUUAAAAUAGUUUCAACUGAUAUUUAUUCUAGAAUUGAUAAAGGUUAUAUUUUGCUUAUUUUCUGUAAAUGAUAAUAAAUAACAAUCAUUGAAAUUAUAUAUUUUGGAAUGGUCCCAUGUUCACAGUUAGAGUGCACUCCACGAAAAAAGUCCCAUAGUGCAGUUGGUAACAGUAGUGUGAAGUGUGAGAUUUUUACACAGUUCAUCCCUUGCGCAGCCGAAGACUUCUAUCGUGGCGGGCACUUUUACCUCAAAGCACCUUAUACUAGCGCUGCAUUACACGAAAACGCUUCAUAUUAUCACGUGUUUAAAGUUCAUUAUGGUAUUGGUACUUAGAGUUGUGAGGUCUUUUACUUUACAUAUUAUAGGCUAUAAUUUAACAAAUAUGGAUUGGAAUAAACGAGUAACACUUGUUUUUGUCUACUCGCUCUAGUGUAAUAAAUGGUAAUAUGUAUUUCACUUAGGCACAAAUAAAUACUUUACACUUAAAUUAUUUGUUGUUUAACAUUUUACAUAUUGAAAGAUUAUGAGAUUAGAUUGAUACUUGGUAGAAUGUAUACUUCUUGCUAAUUAUAAUAAUACAGUGUAAAUUACAUUUUUUUUAUAUGAAAAUAUAAACAUUUUUACUAUUCGUAGAACAUACAUUAGUUGUUUGACUUAAUAAAAAAAAAACGAUCGGAUUCGACACUCAUAAUAACUAUAUGGUAUUUUAUUAGAAUACAAGUAUUCAUUUUACAGAUUUAUCACUCCGAUUAGACCUACUUCCACUUUCAAAGCUCGUGAAAGAAAACGCCUCUAUGUAAAUAUCCUGCUUAUAAAAAGCGUUUUCGUAAAAUGCAAAUUUAAUUCUGAUUGGAUGCUCUUCACGUUACGUUACAAGCGCACGUUCAUCUGCUAACGGAAAUACGUUGGCUAUUGAUAUACAAUAUCCUAUUUGUCUUUUAUAUUUUUUGUCGUAAUUAAAUGCAUGACAUAAGGAACUAACAUUAUGUUUUAUAUAAAUCUUGUAGCAAUGUCGAACAUGUGGUCAAAGAAAGGGCUUUUCACAAUAUAUUGUAAUCAUAUAUUUUAAGCACAUGAUAAACAACAGAAAUUUGAGAUUGUACAGACUCUGAUGGAAUUCAUGUUUGCAAAUACAUCAACAACUAACUAACAACAUCUAAUAUCAUAAAAAUAUAUAUGAAAAAAAAAGAUAACACAAAUAGAUAUAGCUUAAUAUAGAUUUUCCUUUUAAGUAAUAUUUCUUGUUUCGGUAUAAACGCUUCUAUAAUACAACGUUAUAUCAAACUUUUUCCUUGGGAUACCUUCAAAUCGGAGAAUUAUAAUCGUUGCCUAAUAAGGUUUGUGGUGAGGCUACAGUAAGAUCUCAAGAUUAUUUGCAUAUAUCUUACGUCGCAUUCAAUUUAUUUAAUUGGCGUUCUUGCAAUGAUAUAACACAUAGGUUAAGCUUUCAUUUAAUGUGUCGGUUAUUGUUUAUAUAUUAUGAGAUUUAUACGAACAUUUUAAAAAUCUGAGUUCUUUGUCUUUAUAUAUUUUUGUUUAUAUAAUAAUACUAAUCUAAAAUUUUAUGAAAAGAUUUAUAAUUGAUUUGGUUGGAAAAUUAUAACGAAGCUACAUGUAUGGUCAUAUUAACACAGUAUAGUACUAAUAUUUGCGGAACACUUAAAAUAAACACUGAAACGUGUAAUUAAAUCGGAAGAGUCAAUCCAGGUUUUCAUUUAUUCAGUGUGAGAUAAACAAAUGAUGUCCAUUAAAUUAUUUUCGAAUACAAGAAUGCCGCAUAAACUCCGGGGGACUGACAAACAUGUAUUAAAUUGUAAUUUCAUAAGUGUUUAACACUUACACAUUGUAAGGAACGAUAAGUAGCCUAUUAUUCCUUUAGUUAAUUGAUUUUUUCAACUAAAAGUUGUUCAUGUGAUUUGUUAAAGAAAUAUAUGUAAUAAAGUAUAUUUAGUUUAAAAUUUAUGUUAAGUGUUUAGCGUAUUAACAAUUUAGAAUUUUGUAGAAUGUACUCUGCUAUUUGUUGUUGAGGAUUAUAUCAAUAAAAUAAGUAAAAAUUA
rnacentral:misc_RNA from 1 species